rnacentral:lncRNA from 1 species
UGGAAAGAAAGGAACUACUCUUUUCAUAAAACUGCGUUUCAUAUGAGGCCGGCCGUCUCGAACAGUGUGGUCAAUGCUUGAAUUUCUGCAGGCAUGACAUUGGUACUUGCACUAUAACUCUGUACCUAAAUUUCAAUCGUACAAAAAGCCUUGUAUCAAGAGUUGUAGGGCCUUUUCUGGGUGAUUUACAACCCCUCUCCCCCUCCCAUCACCAUCAUGUAUUUUCUUCCCCUAAUGUUAUGUCAGUGUCUAAAAUUAAGUUCAAGAAUCACGCAAGGCAUUUUUUAAAAUUUUUUAAGAGGUCGAACAAACUUAAAAAAGUGCCUUUCUCCUCAGUUGCCAGGCAUCUUUAGAUAUCUGCAUGCCUUUUUUAUUUCCAAGUGAAUUCCCUCUAAAUCACAACAUGUCUGACGACGCUGUAGUAGAAAAGAAACGUGGACGCAAGCCUGCGUCAGAAGAAAAGAAAGCAGAGAAGAGGAAGCCGGAGAAGGCUGCAUCUGGUGGCUCACCCGCCAAGCGAGGCCGUGGAAGACCGAAGGGCUCUGGAAAGAAGAGCAAGAAAGCAAAGGCACCAAAAUCCUCUGGAGCCGGAAAAGGGCGCGGCAGGCCAAAGAAGGUGGAAAAGAAGGCAGCAUCUUCAGCUGAAGAAGAAGAGGAUGAGGAAAACUAAGAAUUUUCACUAACUAAAUUAUGUACAUACUUUUAAGAAAUUAUCGUCUCUCGUCUGGAUUGAAAUCAUUUUAACUGUAACUAUCCAAGUAUUACUUUCAAAAGUCUGUAUGUGAAGAUAGGUAUGUGUUAUUGGUGUGAACGUUCAUGUUUUAUUUAUCUCUCGUCUUUUUAGUCCCCUCACUCUCACUCACUCCUAUAAUUAAAAAAAAUUGUUUCGUUCCUCCUGCUGGCCGACGCACCUUGUCAGUCAUGCGCAGAAACAACAUGAAUGUCUCUCAUUUUCCCGUUGCUCUACCAUAUCCUGAUGGUAAUCUUAAGAUUUCAAUCAUCUUCAAUUUUUUUCACAUUUUUAUUUUUAAGGAUAGGUUUUGCUUUAUGAAAAUUUCCUAAUGCUUCAAGUUCAUAAUUAACUUUUAUUUAGUUGAUCUUUCCGCAUAAACAAAAUGUUCUUAGGAGAAUUUUAGAUUACUCCCAUCAUGGUGUUAUUCCUGUAUGUCUGUAAGCUAGAUCUUCUGUGUAGUUAACUCUAAACACUUUCAACUUUCCUCUCAUCGGUCUGAAAAAUUCGAUAACUGAAAUGGACACUACUUAAACAAGCUGCAUCAUUUUGGUUGCACGUGUGUGUAAACCGAGAAAUAUUUAAAAUUUGCGUGAUGAAAUCUGCCCAGUGCAAACUGAUGGAUUUUCUUGGGCAUUUUUCUCUUAAAUUUGCUUGUUUGAGGUGUGUCAGUUUCUACAGGAGUUAGCUUUUGAUAUUUAAAGUUCAUUGUAAGUAAUGAAAAUUCCACUGCCACUUAAAGAAUUUAACUUUCGUAGGAUUCCUUUUGUGGGAUGGGAAAUUUAAAUUUAUCACAUUUCGAUGUACGGUUAUCCUAUGUCUUAAGCCAAGAAGAAGGUAGUUGGCUUUGCAUAACAUUCUAUCCAUAAAAUUUAAUAGAUUCUGCUUGCAAUGUCUGUCAGUAAUCAGGCACCAACUGAACGUACCCCAAUCCAAAGGAACUAUCUCCAUUAUGACAUGGGUCCAAAAGCCUAGGUCUCAAUGAAGAUAAUUUCCUUUUUGAUCUGGAUGCUUCCAAUGAAUGACGGCUCAUCCGUUGCAGAUACUGCCGCUGAGAGCUUGUCAGAGACUCUUUGUGUUCUACUGAUAGAAUGGCUUUGCAGGCCAUUAACCCUCUCUUGGCCCUUCCCUCUUAACAUGGCUUAACUUCUGUUCACAUAUUUUGACCACUUUUUAACUGAUUUUUAAAUAGGAAGCUAAGUAAUAAUAUGGAUCUCUGUUUUGACUAUUUAUUAACUUCCAUUUUGAUUUUUUCUUCGUCUAAUGCAAAUUUAAAUUCACCGAGAGUUCAGUCUACCUGAAAUCUUGUACCUG